GCUCAAUUGUCACUGAGUGUGACACUCAGUCUACGCCCUGUUGCUUUCUGAUCAAGAUGCAGCCAGCACCAUGUCUGCCUGCAUGCUGCCAUGCUCCUCCUCUCCAUGAUGAUAAUGGACUGAACCUAUGAAACUAGUUUUCAACACAGUGUGGCUUUUUUUUUAAGGGAACUUCAGUUCACAAGUAAAAACCUCUUGCACAAGCAUUCCUGUGGAUGAACGCCCAAGCACGGAAGAAGACAGUCCAGAGCAAAGCCUGACAAUAAACGAAGGAGAGGCAGCAGUCACCCAGUCUCUCUUUCCAGAAGCUUUUCUUUAAAGGGGAGCAGACAAAUAAAGUAUUAAUCAUCAAAAGUG